GGCUCUCCGAGGUGCUCGGCAGGUGCUUCAGCAUUCGCAGUGUCAGGGAAAGGCUUAACUUAAUCCUCCUGCGUUUUCUGCGAGAUCAGAAGAAGAAAAUUAAGAGCUCCGGUACAGAAGAGGAGCAGUCCGAACUGGAGGACCUCCUGCAGCAAGCGGCUGACAUAGCGCGCGAGUGCGGCUACACGCCACCGCCGUCAACCGCACGACAGCUCGCUGAACGCGACGACAUCAAAAAAA